rnacentral:rRNA from 1 species
GAUGAACGCUGGCGGCGUGCCUAAUACAUGCAAGUCGAGCGAACAGACGAGGAGCUUGCUCCUCUGACGUUAGCGGCGGACGGGUGAGUAACACGUGGAUAACCUACCUAUAAGACUGGGAUAACUUCGGGAAACCGGAGCUAAUACCGGAUAAUAUAUUGAACCGCCUGGUUCAAUAGUGAAAGACGGUUUUGCUGUCACUUAUAGAUGGAUCCGCGCCGCAUUAGCUAGUUGGUAAGGUAACAGCUUACCAAGGCAACGAUGCGUAGCCGACCUGAGAGGGUGAUCGGCCACACUGGAACUGAGACACGGUCCAGACUCCUACGGGAGGCAGCAGUAGGGAAUCUUCCGCAAUGGGCGAAAGCCUGACGGAGCAACGCCGCGUGAGUGAUGAAGGUCUUCGGAUCGUAAAACUCUGUUAUUAGGGAAGAACAAAUGUGUAAGUAACUAUGCACGUCUUGACGGUACCUAAUCAGAAAGCCACGGCUAACUACGUG